CACAUGUGUGUACAAGAAGUACACAAGUGAACAAGCUACGCUUGGUACCGGAUCAACACGGCUGGCUGGCACGACUCUACACAUAACGACCUCCGCCCCCUCCCCCACCCUCAAAUGCCACAGCCGUCCUUUUCACGCGUACCGGUCGGGCUGGACGGCUCCCCUUCGAGUGCGUCGGUGGCGGUAUCAGGAGCGGCAGCUGCAAACGCCGCAUCGUCAACGACCCGGUCGCCGACCACCACCACGGCUGGAACGUUCGUCUCGCCCUCAGUACUGCUGCUCCGCCGCAGCAUAAAUGAUCCGUACUACUUUGCAUCCCGUGCGCAGUUCUCGCACCGGCAUCACCACCACCUCAUCAACCGAGACACCGCCGUCGGCUUGGGCGUCGCCGCAAGUACCCGCUCCCCUAUGCAGAGGUCCAAGCACCGCGCCUCCCCUGGCGGCGGCGGCACCGUUUCUCAUGUCACCCCAAUGUUUACCGAUGAUAAGAAGCGGGAUGACAGCGACAGAGUCGACAAGCUUACGCAGCAGCAGCAGCAGCAGGCACAGCAACCGGACGGUGGCCUUGUUGCGAUCGAGAACACGCCGACAGCGCUCCGACGCAGGGCGCAGUACAGCCGAGCCAAGCCGCGCCCCAUCCCAAACAGCCUACGCACAGGUAGCGAUGCGAUCGCCGUCGCCGCCGCUGUGGACACUUUCUACACCACCCCUUUUCUGCAGCUCGCCUUGCGUGAGGCAGCCGAGCGGGAAGUGGCGGCGCGGCUGCGGUUGAGCGUGCAGAAGAUGUCGUCAAAGCUGCACACGGUGCGGGUGGAGGGGUUGAAGGAGGCGACGGCUCAACUCUUGCAAUGGACGACGCAGGCCUCCAUCGAGUCGGCUGAGCGACAGCAAGAACAGCAGCAGCAGCAGACCAAGUCCGAUGCGCGCCACACCGACAGUGCAGCUGCAGCCGCGCCAACGGGGCAAUCCAACUUGGUGCUCCCGCCCUACGACGCGGUGCGCGUCGAGGUGUUGGGCGGGUCGUCGCCAGCCGUCGCCCAUGGACACUACCCCCACCACCAGCGCCCUCCCUCCUCUGAGUUGCCGCAGCGUCGCGACAACGAGGCGGCCGCCGCCCGCUGCGCGAACGCGUUGCGCAGCCCCUCCUGGGACGUUGUGCAGCACGCGCUGGAAGGAGUGGACUACACGAGCUCAAUUUUCAACACAAUCCUCGUACCUCGGCUGGAGGUGCGCAAUGCCAUGAGCACCGGCGCCCCCAUCAGCGUUCAGCUGCCGAGUGACGUGGCGCUGCAGUGGACUACGCUUCCGACAACGUCGAGAAGUGCUGCGGGGGCAGCGAGCGGCGCGGCAUCCCAAGGGACACCACCACCAGAGAACAAACUACUGCGAGCGGCGACAGCAGUCACCUACGAAGAGCAGGAGCUGGCCCUCCGCUACAUCCAGGGCACAUGCCUGAUACUCUACCACCAGCGACGUUGCUGCGCUGAGGGGUGCCUGCUGUACUACGCGACGGAGGUGUUCCAGUGUAUGCGCAGCCACAUCGACGCGCUCUUCACAUCUCAGCGGCGGGAGCGGGAGGAGCGGGAAGGCGAAGAGCAAACGUGCCAGCGUGGGAAAAGAGGCCUCAGCACGAACCACGGCAGUGUGACUGGUGCGCGCACGCCCGGCACCUCGUCCGCGACCACAGCAGCAGCCUUCACAGCGGCGUUGCGAGAGUCGGGUCGCUCGCAGGUUUCCGUCGACCCGUCGCUUGUCCGCGUCGUCGUGGCGCUUGUGGACGCUGUCGAGGCCUCCUGUCACUACAACCCGUCGAGCUUACGCCGUUUCGUGCAGACCGGCGGCGUGACGGCCAUGCUGAACCUGGCCUACUGUCCAUUUAUGCCCACCCCGAUCCGUGCCGCGGUGCUCAACACGAUUAGCGUGCUUCUGCAGCAGGUGACGCCCCUGCGCCGGUAUGUGGCAGCCGCGAGCAAGGCACAGGGAACAAGCAGCCCCCGCGGUCGCGGCGGUGUUGUCGAGCCGAACCCUGACCCACUCCUGCAGCGCAUGCUAGAGAACGCGGUGCACGACAACCCGCUUGGCCGGGAUGGGCAACAGAUACCGUACUCCACCGACUUCGGCAGCGCCUCCAAGUUCGACUCAGCGGUGCGGGAUUGGUUCUUCGCGAAUGGGCUUGGUAACGUCAUCGCGUCUGUGGCGCAGCUGCAAGACCUGCGCAACACCUUCCAGCCCGCUUCCUUUAUCGUACCGCAGGGAGCCGCCGCCGCCACCGCCACCGCCGUGACGCACGCCAACAUGCUGCGUGAAGGCGAGCUGCAUCGCAAGCGGAUUGGGUGGCUGCUCGAGUGCAUGGACGGACGAGAGCUGCGAUGACCUCCAUCUUCGAAGCCAUUGCGCGAAUUCACGCACAGACACAGAGACAGACACGAGUUCGUACGUAUGCGCCCCUCGCUACUGCUUGACAACUGUCGCCUCUCUCCCUCUUCGUACAAAUCAGCGCCUGUGUGUUGCCCCUCCCUCCCUCUGCGCGCGCUCCCUUCUGCUCAACUCCGAAAUACACACGAAAAAGCGUGAGGAAGAAGCGAAAAAAAAGAACGCAAUUCCAUUUCUUUUUUACCUUCCGAACUGCAUACAUCGCACUGCGGCUCCGGUGUUUCCUCGUCCGCGGCCCAAAC
rnacentral:misc_RNA from 1 species